rnacentral:rRNA from 1 species
AAUCAACGCUGGCGGCGUGCCUCAGACAUGCAAGUCGAACGCGAAAGUUCCCUUCGGGGGAUAAGUAGAGUGGCGUCCGGGUGAGUAACACGUAGGUAAUCUACCUUUGGGUGGGGAAUAACAACCGGAAACGGUUGCUAAUACCGCAUAGUGCAGCGGCACCACAUGGUGACAGUUGUUAAAGCGGGGGAUCNCAAGACCUCGCGCCUAAAGAGGAGCCUGCGGCGGAUUAGCUAGUUGGAGGGUUAA